rnacentral:rRNA from 1 species
UGGCGAACGGUGAGUAACACGUGGGUGAUCUGCCCUGCACUCUGGGAUAAGCCUGGGAAACUGGGUCUAAUACCGGAUAGGACCAUGCUUUAGUGUGUGUGGUGGAAAGUUUUUUAGGUGUAGGAUGAGCCCGCGGCCUAUCAGCUUGUUGGUGGGGUAAUGGCCUACCAAGGCGGCGACGGGUAGCCGGACUGAGAGGUUGGUCGGCCACAUUGGGACUGAGAUACGGCCCAG